rnacentral:tRNA from 1 species
GGGUGAUUAGCUCAGAGGCAGAGCGCUUCCUCUACACGGAAGAGGCCACUGGUUCAAAUCCAGUAUCACCCA